AUGCCUUUAUCACGAAUCAACCCGCAGUACUCCUCGUCCCCCUCGAAGCCACCCGGCCACCCCGACCCGCGAUGGCUCCGACGUCUGUUCCCCGGCGGCACCGACACCGAAACUGAUGACGACGCGCCCUUCAGCUUCCCGGUGUACCCCGAGGAGUACGUGGCCGCCACCCCCAGGAUGCUUGGGGCCAUGGUGGACAUAGAGGACGAGCAGCCAAGGGCGCAGCAGAGGGCGCUCCUGAAGACGAUGAGAAAGACGGACAGGAUCGGGCUCGCCUGGCCGGAGCAGCCGCUGGACCUGAUGGCCACCGCGUCCUUGUCAUCGGCGCCGUUCAAGUCGCCGAGAUCGUUCGGCGCGCACAGGUCGUUCAUGAAGUCCAGGGUCGCCGCCGCCGACUGCCCGGCCAUGGUCCCUGACCUGGACCUGGACCUCGACGGCGAGGCCGCGCGUGGUCAUGGCAAGAAGAAGGGCGGCGUCAGGUCGCCGUUCGUGAGGAUCGUGAGCAAGCAGAUGGUGGGCGUGUUCCUGACCAUCUGGGUGCGGCGCGGCCUGCGGAGGUGCGUCCAGAACAUCAAGGUGUCCACCGUGGGCGUGGGCGCCAUGGGCUACAUCGGCAACAAGGGGUCGGUGUCGGCGAGCAUGUCCAUCUACCAGACCAUGUUCUGCUUCGUCUGCACCCACCUGUCCGCCGGCGAGCGGCCCGGCAACCUCCUCAAGCGGAACGCCGACGUGCAGGAGAUCCACCGGCGGACGCGCUUCGCCGGCCCCGGCGGCCUCGAGCUGCCCCGAGACAUCUACGACCACGAGAGGAUUUUCUGGCUGGGCAAUCUGAACUACCGGAUCGACGUGCCGUACGACAGAACCCACGGCCUGAUCGCCGCCAUGGACUGGCCUCAGCUAGCCGAGAAAGAUCAGCUGAAGCGGGAGCUGAGGAAGGGGCGGGCAUUCGAGGGUUGGAGCGAGGGGGUGCUGGAGUUCGCGCCGACGUAA
rnacentral:rRNA from 1 species